CGGAAUCGAGGUCUAGGAGUGGUAAAUAGGAGAGGAUUGACUCGAGUAUGUCUCCGUCAAUGGAACUUUCUUCUUCUCCGAAAUCUCCUCCAUUGUUGUUGUUCUUCUUCUUCUCCAUUUUUU
rnacentral:sRNA from 1 species